UGCACUAACAUUGACCAAUGGUAAAUAUCCGAUAUACUUGGUUUCUCCUACUCAGUCGUGUAAACUCUGUUGACAUCUUUAUCUUUUAAAACCAUAAUAAUUAUAUGAAGACCUUUGAUACCUUUUCUCUAAAUCAAGAUCACUUCCUUCCAAAGAAGGCUGUGUUUGACCUAAAUGAAAUGAUAUACAUGUAAGAGACAAAUGGAAGAAGAAAACCCGAAUAGCAGCCCCCAAAGGCAUAAGUGGAUGAGAACAUGACGCUUCAUAUAUGGAAGAAAUGUCUCCUUCUGUGCAUCUCCAACUCAGAGUUUUCUCGAAGAGAAAGAAGCAUGACUUAUCUCAAUGAAGAUAUACAGAUAUUAAAUGUAUUUCUGUUACACUA